rnacentral:rRNA from 1 species
UACGGGGGGGGUAAGCGUUGUUCGGAAUUACUGGGCGUAAAGGGCUCGUAGGCGGCCAACUAAGUCAGACGUGAAAUCCCUCAGCUUAACUGGGGAACUGCGUCUGAUACUGGAUGGCUUGGAUUCGGGAGAGGAAUGCGGAAUUCCAGGUGUAGCGGUGAAAUGCGUAGAUAUCUGGAGGAACACCGGUGGCGAAGGCGGCAUUCUGGACCGAUAUUGACGCUGAGGAGCGAAAAGCCAGGGGAGCAAACGGG